rnacentral:lncRNA from 1 species
GGGGAUACAAGCAAGUAUAUGCACAGGAUACAACAAGGAUAGGCUAGAGUUUAUUUACAAUAAAGCUAGAUUUUUUCAACACAUGCAUAGGCUCGUUUCAAAUAAAUUUUUGUAAAGCUUUUCUUUAGUAACCAAGCAAGGAGUGGGGUUGAUCCUACACAAAGGAUCCAAGUUUUUAUCGCUAUCGGACUCCCCGUCCGUCAUAGCGCACGGCUCGACUGCCGGACUCUUCCAAAAUUCAACUCUCAC